ACAAGCCCAGCCUGAAAACGGCUAUCGCUCAAAGAAAAGUCAUAGGAUUCAGAAUAAUUAAUGAGAGUUCUCGCGGCGGUGAGCUGUUCCUUAUCGGCUGACGAGCUUAGAUCCUUUUAAGAUGGAGCUCAGGCUACUGAUACAGAUAGUAACAGAUCUUUCAACUUGAUACUGCUGCUGAUGAGGAUGAAGGAGGUGAUGAUGCAAAACCCUACCUUUAGGCUCAACUUAGGGUUCCUCCUAAGCCUCUCUAUAACCUCCUGAGCCUGAGAAACAGAAAUUCCACCAGACAAACAGAAGAAAGGUACACAAUUACAAUAUUGUUAAAGAUAUAUGGGAAACAUUGAGAACCUUCUAGGCUUGAAAGUUUAAAUAUGGGGCUUUCUUGUUUGUUUGCACUAGUUUUGGUAUACAGAACUACGUCAUGUCUCUGAUGCUUCUCUGUUCCAGAAUGUGUGACUGCAGAAGAUGAUGGGAGACGAGACUGUCUAGUUUUCCUGGAAGAGAAACAAAGACAAGUAAAGAGAGCACCUCUCAGAACUCUUCUAAGGACUUCUCCCCUCCUUGGCACUAGACUAGCUUCUCUUGCACACAUUUCUUUCUCUUUCUGCUCGGUUUAUUGCGGUUUGGUUUGUUUUAGUUACUUUAGUAUUGGAGAUGAUGAUCUGUCUGCAAGCUGGAACUGCCGACUUGUGUCUAUAUAGGUGUAGCGUUACAGAGAUACAAUACAAGACCGCGUGGAAAUUUUCAAGACGCGUUGUUGGCUCGUUCUUCGAUUCAUACAAAUUCGUUUAACACUUGUAAAUUUAUUUAUGUAGUUAUGGAUUAUAUAGCUGUUGCAUAUAAGGGAAUAAUAUAGGUUUUGUUUUUGAAAGUGUUACUGUUUAGAGUUUGAAGUGGUCCUAAGACUUUCUUUCUUUGGUACCAAGUUAACGCGUUUUCUGCUUAGGGAAACGACCGGGUUUUAGUUUUGA